GCCUACGGGGGGCAGCAGUAGGGAAUUUUCGUCAAUGGGCGCAAGCCUGAACGAGCAAUGCCGCGUGAACGAGGAAGGUCUUCGGAUCGUAAAGUUCUGUUGAAGGGGAAAAAGAGCGGAGAGAGGAAAUGGUCUCCGAUUGAUAUUACCCUUCGAGGAAGUCACGGCUAACUACGUGCCAGCAGCCGCGGUAAUACGUAGGUGGCGAGCGUUAUCCGGAAUGAUUGGGCGUAGAGGGUGCGUAGGCGGCCUGCUAAGUCUGGAGUGAAAGGUACCGGCUCAACCGGUACAGGCUCUGGAAGCUG
rnacentral:rRNA from 1 species